rnacentral:rRNA from 1 species
CAACCAUUACGCCAGCAUCCUAGCCGAAGCGCGGACCUCAGUCCCGGCUGGCCGUAUUACACCCUGGGCUAUAACACCUCCACCGAAGUGGAGGCCACAUUCCCAGAGCCUUUAUCCGGCCGCCGAAACUGAUGCUGGCCUGUCCAAACUGAGUAAACCGGUCAGAAGACCGGCCGAACAGUUUAAACAAGUCUGAUUGCAAGCGCUUCCCUUUCAACAAUUUCACGUGCUUUUUAACUCUCUUUCCAAAGUGCUUUUCAUCUUUCGAUCACUCUACUUGUGCGCUAUCGGUCUCUCGCCAAUAUUUAGCUUUAGAAGAAAUUUACCUCCCAUUUAGAGCUGCAUUCCCAAACAACUCGACUCGUCGAAGGAGAUUUACAUAGGGUGCCAUUUCCUGUCACAUACGGGAUUCUCACCCUCUAUGACGUCCUGUUCCAAGGAACUUAGACAGGCGGCUUCCCCAAAUCAUCCUCUACAAAUUACAAUGCGAACCCGAAGGCUAGCUUUCAAAUUUGAGCUGUUGCCGCUUCACUCGCCGUUACUAGGGCAAUCCCUGUU